rnacentral:lncRNA from 1 species
AAUUUAAAAUUCUAAAUUUUAAAAUUUAAAUUUUAAGUGUAAACUUCAACUCUAUAAAAUUCAACAUCUAUUUUGAAUUUUAAAUUUUAAAUUCUAAAUUCUAUAAUUCUAAAACUUUAAAUCUUUAUCUUAAAUUUGAAAUUUAAAAUUUAAUAUUUAAUAUCUAAACUUAAUAUUUUAAUUGUUGAAAUUUAAGAUUUAAAAAUUAAAAUUUGAAAUUUAAAAAUUUAAACAUAAAAUAAUAAAAUCUAAAUAUAAAAUAUGAAUUUAUAAUCAAAAUAAAAAUUAGAAUUUGAGUCCAAAAUCAAAAUCAGAUUUAAAAAGCAAAUUUUAGUUAUUUCUAAUUUUGC